AGGGGCACCUGAUCCUGCCAUUCCGCGUGAGUGAAGAAGGCCUUCGGGUUGUAAAGCUCUUUCGCAAGGGAAGAAACGAUACAGUCUAAUAAACUGUGUUAAUGACGGUACCUUGAUAAGAAGCACCGGCUAACUACGUGCCAGCAGCCGCGGUAAUACGUAGGGUGCGAGCGUUAAUCGGAAUUACUGGGCGUAAAGCGUGCGCAGGCGGUUUUGAAAGUCAGAUGUGAAAUCCCCGGGCUCAACCUGGGAACUGCGUUUGAAACUCCAAAGCUAGAGUAUGGGAGAGGGGGGUAGAAUUCCACGUGUAGCAGUGAAAUGCGUAGAGAUGUGGAGGAAUACCAAUGGCGAAGGCAGCCCCCUGGCUUAAUACUGACGCUCAUGCACGAAAGCGUGGGGAGCAAACAGGAUUAGAUACCCUGGUAGUCCACGCCCUAAACGAUGUCUACUAGUUGUCGGGAGAGUAAAAUCUCUUAGUAACGCAGCUAAACGCGUGAAGUAGACCGGCUGGGGAGUACGGUCGCCAGAUUAAAACUCCAAGGAAUUGACGGGGGCCCGGACAAGCGGUGGAUUAUGUGGAUUCA
rnacentral:rRNA from 1 species